rnacentral:rRNA from 1 species
CACACGACCGUACCGCAAACCGACACUGGUGCGCGAGAUGAGUAUUCUAAGGCGCUUGAGAGAACUCAGGAGAAGGAACUCGGCAAAUUGACACCGUAACUUCGGAAGAAGGUGUGCCUUUAGUAGGUGAAGUCCCUCGCGGAUGGAGCCCAAUGAGGUUGCAAAAAAUCGGUGGCUGCGACUGUUUAUUAAAAACACAGCACUCUGCAAACACGAAAGUGGACGUAUAGGGUGUGACGCCUGCCCGGUGCUGGAAGAUUAAAUGAUGGGGUGCAAGCUCUUGAUUGAAGUCCCAGUAAACGGCGGCCGUAACAAUAACGGUCCUAAGGUAGCGAAAUUCCUUGUCGGGUAAGUUCCGACCUGCACGAAUGGCGUAACGAUGGCCACACUGUCUCCUCCUGAGACUCAGCGAAGUUGAAAUGUUUGUGAUGAUGCAAUCUCCCCGCGGAAAGACGGAAAGACCCCAUGAACCUUUACUGUAGCUUUGUAUUGGACUUUGAACAGAUCUGUGUAGGAUAGGUGGGAGGCUUUGAAGCAGGGUCGCUAGAUCUUGUGGAGCCAACGUUGAAAUACCACCCUGGUGUGUUUGAGGUUCUAACCUAGGCCCGUAAUCCGGGUUGGGGACAGUGCAUGGUAGGCAGUUUGACUGGGGCGGUCUCCUCCCAAAGUGUAACGGAGGAGUUCGAAGGUACGCUAGUUACGGUCGGACAUCGUGACGAUAGUGCAAUGGCAUAAGCGUGCUUAACUGCGAGACUGACAAGUCGAGCAGAUGCGAAAGCAGGACAUAGUGAUCCGGUGGUUCUGUAUGGAAGGGCCAUCGCUCAACGGAUAAAAGGUACUCUGGAUAACAGGCUGAUACCGCCCAAGAGUUCAUAUCGACGGCGGUGUUUGGCACCUCGAUGUCGGCUCAUCUCAUCCUGGGGCUGUAGCCGGUCCCAAGGGUAUGGCUGUUCGCCAUUUAAAGAGGUACGUGAGCUGGGUUUAAAACGUCGUGAGACAGUUUGGUCCCUAUCUUCCGUGGGCGCUGCAGAUUUGAGGAAGCCUGCUCCUAGUACGAGAGGACCGGAGUGGACGCACCUCUGGUGUAUCGGUUGUCACGCCAGUGGCAUUGCCGAGUAGCUAUGUGCGGAAGAGAUAACCGCUGAAAGCAUCUAAGCGGGAAACUCGUUUCAAGAUGAGAUCUGCCGGGGCCUUGAGCCCCCUGAAGAGUCGUUCAAGACCAGGACGUUGAUAGGUCGGGUGUGGAAGCGCAGUAAUGCGUUAAGCUAACCGAUACUAAUUGCUCGUGCGGCUUGACCA